UGGGGAAUUUUGGACAAUGGGCGAAAGCCUGAUCCAGCAAUGCCGCGUGUGUGAAGAAGGCCUUCGGGUUGUAAAGCACUUUUGUCCGGAAAGAAAUCCUUGGCUCUAAGUACAGUCGGGGGAUGACGGUACCGGAAGAAUAAGCACCGGCUAACUACGUGCCAGCAGCCGCGGUAAUACGUAGGGCGCAAGCGUUAAUCGGAAUUACUGGGCGUAAAGCGUGCGCAGGCGGUUUGCUAAGACCGAUGUGAAAUCCCCGGGCGUCAACCUGGGAACUGCAUUGGUGACUGGCAGGCUAGAGUAUGGCAGAGGGGGUAGAAUUCCACGUGUAGCAGUGAAAUGCGUAGAGAUGUGGAGGAAUACCGAUGGCGAAGGCAGCCCCUGGCAAGUACUGACGCUCAUGCACGAAAAGCGUGGGGGAGCAAAACAGGAUUA
rnacentral:rRNA from 1 species